AUAGUUUUUGAUUGGUUAAAUAGUUUUCGCAUGAUGAUCAAUUUGAGAAGUUUUCAAUCUUCAGCUUGUACUCCAUUAAGAUAUUUGGUUUCAGUGCUUGAGCAGGAGCUUAUCAAGGCUAAAGAUGAUACUAAUGAUACCAUGAAAAAGUUGAGGGAAGUUGAUAAAACAUGUUCACAGUUGCAACAGAAUUUGGAAAAGUUUGGAGGAAAAGCUCUGCAAUUUAGAGGAUGAGAAUCAUGUAUUGCAUCAAAAAGCAUUGAGUUCUCCGAAGGGCAUCCGUCCUGGUUUUGUCAAGCCAUUUUUGGAGAAAUUGAUGAGCAAGCGGAGCUUCUACCUGAUGGAACCCUUCUCGUGUACGUAGCUUUGUGGCUUAAAAUAUUUCAUUUUUUUGUUUUUUUUUUUGUUUUGG